rnacentral:misc_RNA from 1 species
GAUGAAGAACGCAGCGAAAUGCGAUAAGUAAUGUGAAUUGCAGAAUUCAGUGAAUCAUCGAAUCUUUGAACGCAUCUUGCGCUCCUUGGUAUUCUGAGGAGCAUGCCUGUUUGCGUGUCAUUAAAUUCUCAACUACACUGACUUUGAAUUGGUGUGGCUUGGAUUUGGGGGGAAAAUUGUUGUGGGCUUUUUGUAUAGUCUGCUCCCCUGAAAUUGAUUAGCGGUACCUUUGUGGAACUGUCUACAGGUGUGAUAAUUAUCUACAUCUUAGACAUCUGCUGGAAUGCUGCUUUCUAAACCUUACUUGUAUUGACAAUCUUGACCUCAAAUCAGGUAGGACUACCCGCUGAACUUAAGCAUAUCAAUAAGCGGAGGA